GUCGAGGGGUAACGAUGGCUUCGGCCAGGCGACGACCGGCGGACGGGUGAGUAUCGCGUAUGUAACCUACCUCUAACUGGAGGAGAGCGCGAAGAAAUUCGGAUUAAUGCUCCAUAUUGCUAUGAGAUGGCAUCAUUUUAUAGUGAAAGCCCCGGCGGUUAGAGAUGGGCAUGCGUGACAUUAGUUUGUUGGUGAGGUAACGGCUCACCAAGGCCACGAUGCCUAGGGGGUCUGAGAGGAUGGUCCCCCACACUGGUACUGAGACACGGACCAGACUCCUACGGGAGGCAGCAGUGAGGAAUAUUGGUCAAUGGGCGAAAGCCUGAACCAGCCAUGCCGCGUGAAGGAUGACAGCGCUAUGCGUUGUAAACUUCUUUUGUACGGGAAGAAACACUUCUACUUGUAGAAGCUUGACGGUACCGUACGAAUAAGCAUCGGCUAACUCCGUGCCAGCAGCCGCGGUAAUACGGAGGAUGCAAGCGUUAUCCGGAUUUAUUGGGUUUAAAGGGUACGUAGGCGGAAAAUUAAGUCAGUGGUGAAAUCCCGCAGCUUAACUGUGGAACUGUCAUUGAUACUGGUUUUCUUGAAUAUAGUUGAGGUAGGCGGAAUGUGUAAUGUAGCGGUGAAAUGCUUAGAUAUUACACAGAACACCGAUUGCGAAGGCAGCUUACUAAACUAUGAUUGACGCUGAGGUACGAAAGCGUGGGGAGCGAACAGGAUUAGAUACCCUGGUAGUCCACGCUGUAAACGAUGAUCACUCGUUGUUGGCGAUAUACUGUCAGCGACUGAGCGAAAGCAUUAAGUGAUCCACCUGGGGAGUACGACCGCAAGGUUGAAACUCAAAGGAAUUGACGGGGGCCCGCACAAGCGGAGGAACAUGUGGUUUAAUUCGAUGAUACGCGAGGAACCUUACCUGGGCUUAAAUGCAGAACGACGGACCGGGAAACUGGUCUUUCUUCGGACGGACUGCAAGGUGCUGCAUGGCUGUCGUCAGCUCGUGCCGUGAGGUGUCGGGUUAAGUCCCAUAACGAGCGCAACCCUCAUCAUUAG
rnacentral:rRNA from 1 species